GACGAACGCUGGCGGCGUGCCUAAUACAUGCAAGUCGAACGAACCGCGACUAAGUGCUUGCACUAAGUCAAGGUGAGUGGCGAACGGGUGAGUAACACGUGGGUAACCUACCUCAUAGUGGGGGAUAACAGUCGGAAACGACUGCUAAUACCGCAUAGGACAUAGGAUCACAUGAUCCAGUGAGGAAAGGUGGCGCAAGCUAUCGCUAAGAGAUGGACCCGCGGUGCAUUAGCUAGUUGGUAGGGUAAAGGCCUACCAAGGCGAUGAUGCAUAGCCGACCUGAGAGGGUGAUCGGCCACAUUGGGACUGAGACACGGCCCAAACUCCUACGGGAGGCAGCAGUAGGGAAUCUUCCGCAAUGGACGCAAGUCUGACGGAGCAACGCCGCGUGAGUGAAGAAGGUCUUCGGAUCGUAAAGCUCUGUUGUUAGAGAAGGACAGCGCAUAGAGUAACUGCUAUGCGUGUGACGGUAUCUAACCAGAAAGCCACGGCUAACUACGUG
rnacentral:rRNA from 1 species